rnacentral:rRNA from 1 species
GAUAAACGCUGCGGCGUGCUUUAACACAUGCAAGUCGAGAAGCUGUUAAAAGGAAGUCUUCGGAUGGAAUUUUAACAGACUUAGUGGCGGACGGGUAGUAACGCGUGGAUAACCUGCCUUAUACAGGGGGAUAACGGAGAGAAAUUUCCGCUAAGCCGCAUAAGACCACAGCACCGCAUGGUGCAGGGGUAAAAUAUUAAUAGGUAUAAGAUGGAUCCGCGUCCGAUUAGCUUGUUGGUGAGGUAGAGGCUCACCAAGGCGACGAUCGGUAGCCGGCCUGAGAGGGUGAACGGCCACAUUGGGACUGAGACACGGCCCAAACUCCUACGGGAGGCAGCAGUGGGGAAUAUUGGACAAUGGGGGAAACCCUGAUCCAGCGACCCGCGUGAGUGAAGAAGUAUUUCGGUAUGUAAAGCUCUAUCAGCAGGGAAGAAAAUGACGGUACC